rnacentral:rRNA from 1 species
GCAUAUCAAUAAGCGGAGGAAAAGAAACCAACAGGGAUUGCCUCAGUAACGGCGAGUGAAGCGGCAACAGCUCAAAUUUGAAAUCUGGCUCUUUCAGGGUCCGAGUUGUAAUUUGUAGAAGAUGCUUUGGGUGUAGCUCCGGUCUAAGUUCCUUGGAACAGGACGUCAUAGAGGGUGAGAAUCCCGUACGUGACUGGUUGCUUUCGCUCGUGUAAAGCUCUUUCGACGAGUCGAGUUGUUUGGGAAUGCAGCUCAAAAUGGGUGGUAAAUUUCAUCUAAAGCUAAAUAUUGGCCAGAGACCGAUAGCGCACAAGUAGAGUGAUCGAAAGAUGAAAAGCACUUUGGAAAGAGAGUUAAACAGUACGUGAAAUUGUUGAAAGGGAAGCGCUUGCAACCAGACUUGCACGCUGUUGAUCAUCCGAGAUUUUUCCCGGUGCACUCGGCAGUGUUCAGGCCAGCAUCGGUUUUGGUGGGCGGAUAAAGGCCUUGGGAAUGUAGCUUCUUUCGGGGAGUGUUAUAGCCCUCGGUGCAAUGCGCCCUACCGGGACCGAGGACCGCGCUUCGGCUAGGAUGCUGGCGUAAUGGUUGUAAGCGACCCGUCUUGAAACACGGACCAAGGAGUCUAACAUCUAUGCGAGUGUUUGGGUGUCAAACCCAUACGCGUAAUGAAAGUGAACGGAGGUGAGAACCCUUAAGGGUGCAUCAUCGACCGAUCCUGAUGUCUUCGGAUGGAUUUGAGUAAGAGCAUAGCUGUUGGGACCCGAAAGAUGGUGAACUAUGCCUGAAUAGGGUGAAGCCAGAGGAAACUCUGGUGGAGGCUCGCAGCGGUUCUGACGUGCAAAUCGAUCGUCAAAUUUGGGUAUAGGGGCGAAAGACUAAUCGAACCAUCUAGUAGCUGGUUCCUGCCGAG